GAGAAUUUUAUAGAAACUUCAAGUCUUCAUAAAACCAGCCGAAAUCAAAUUUUUUUUUUAAAACACAAUUCUAUAAUAAGGCGCAAAUUAUACAUACUCAAGGAAAUGAUCUUUGGUAUUACCAAGUAACUAGAGAGACAGGACUAAAGUUGCUGCAACAAAUAAAUGUAAAACGAAGAAAGCUCUAUUUUAAAAGUUACUGCUGAAAAUGAGCUCCUUCCAGUUCGAGCCAUUACAACAUAUAUCUACAAUAAUUUAAAACAGUAGGGGCGGAAUGAAACCUUAAGCAUGCAGUGAGGUGAAGCAUACAACUCUUUUUGUAUGCUGUCAGCUUGAUGAUAAGUAGAAUAAUCCAUAACUAGAUUACCAAACCUUCAAUGACAACUGUGUUGAAGUGACGAAGGACUCGGUCGUUUGUCUCUAACUUCUUCCAUAAUUGCAAGUGAAAAGUGUGAUAUGGUUGAAGGAAUUUUAGGUCUUCACACAAACUCUCAUUUAGCAGUUGCAUAAUACCAUAAUCUGCCACAUAAUUUUUGUUCGCAUAGUCCUGUUUGCUGAAACACAAGGGUAGAAGACUUUCAAUUCUCUGGCCAGAAAACAAAGAUCUGAACAUCUUCAUACUGCAAGAUACAACUUUAAAGACUAGUCUAAUAAUAACUCGGCUCCAACAGCCUCAGAGUCUUUAACUCCAGUAUUUCGCCCUCGAUAUAAACCAAGCAAAACCAUCUCAACUUGUAUACCUGAUACCUGCUCCGUAAUAACUUGUCUCCGACAGUUUUAGAGUCUUCAACUCCAGUAGUUUUGCUCUCAAUAUAAAGCAGACAAGCUUAUCCUUCUCACUCAAUUGUAUACCUGAUACCUGCUCUGAGAUUCAUAGCUUCAAAAUCUCUAUGUUAGAUACAAGAGCAACUAGGACAUUCUCACAUAUGUUUACUCGAAGAGUUCCUGAAAGCUUAUCCUGCUCACUCAAUUGUAUACCUGAUACCUGCUCUGAGAUUCAUAGCUUCAAAAUCUCUAUGUUAGAUACAAGAGCAACUAGGACAUUCUCACAUAUGUUACUCGAGGAGUUCCUGAAUCACUUCUUUGCUGGCUGGAUAGCACCUGACUCACUGUUAGCAACUUUGAUUAAGAACUAGGAUACCCUCACAUAUGUUACUCAAAAAGUUCCUGAAUAGCAGUUUUACCGGAAAGUCCCUGAAUCACUGUUAGCAACUUUCCACAUAUAUUGAUCGGCUUAAUCAAUAAGCAAUAACCGGGCAAUAAAGCAAUAGCCCAAAUACGAAGCACCAACCACGUGAUAGCAAUCUCUCACUUAAGAUAUUCUAGAAUUCCAGCCAAAGCCCAACACCUCGGAAGGCUUUACUAAAACAUCCAACAUAGCUCCCACCACAAUGCUUUCUUAUUUCCCAGGAAAAAGAUGAACAGCCAAACUAUAACUAUAUAUAUUUCAGAACAAUCUAAUUAACAUAAAUACAGCUACUUAAUCUAUUGCGACACUUUAAGAGGAGAAAUGGGCCAGAUUGAUCUGUUACCAGUUCAGUCGACAAGUGCAUGAAGGAACUGAUAAGAAGAACCUAUAAGCCAUCUCUCCCGUCCAUAACCAGAUGUUGCAGAUCUUAUGUCGCAGCUAAGACCCCCGAGUCGGGGACGAUCUCUGCUAGAGUAAUCUUAAUUGGUUGCCACCCGGAUUGAUGUUGUACAAGCCAUUUCUUCAUGUUUAUAACCAUAUGCAAGAUCUGAAGUAUUUCGCCUAAAGCAAGCUCCUUUAAGCACAUUUUCUUAAUAACUGUAGCUGCUUCAAACCUAGUGAAGAAUCAAGUAAAUAAGCAAGUUCAAAUUAGAUUAUAUCAGCCAGAUACACACGAGAAACUAUCUUUAUAGGACCUAACAAAAAAAGCCCGUUUGGCAUUAUCCUGAACCUAAAAGCUUUUUCCUCAAUACAACGUUGUCAAAUUUUUAAUUGGAUGUCCUACAACAAAAUGAAUACUUUUGAAAACCUCUCCAACAUCCACCAAAAUCCGAUAAGGUUCAACUUAAAUGAGAUCCCAUUACCUGCACUGAGUAGAGCUUAUGGCGGCUCUUCCAGCAGAAGAUGAUAGAAAUUUCUGAAGGUCAUCCCAUGCUUCUUUGGGAUAUUGUUUCAGAUUACAACUAAUAGGGUUCACACACUUCCAUAUGUUCUCAUUUUUACCAACAUAUAAUUGCCAAGCACCUGUUUUCUUUGUUACUACCAGCUGUUGUUCAACUGCGCUUGCAAGAGCCUUCUUAACAUCAGUAUUGCGGUGUUUUGGAUCUCCAUAUUUGAUGCAAUCUGCAAUGUUUGCUUCAGUAGGCAUAAUCUUCUCAUUUUUUAGGGUGUUCAAUGCAAGUAAAAUGACUCCAAUAAGACCUUGAACAUACUCAGAAGGUUUUGGGCAUCCUGGAGCUCCCCACACACCGUUGAGCGGUCCAUUACUGCUAUUUGUUAAAGAUGAUGGUGGUGGUGGAAUCUCAGGGCUGGGAUGUGUAUACCUGUUGACCUCUUUUUCAAGGUAAAAUGGUGCUUUCUUCUGCAAAUUGUUUCCUUUCUGAGGCCCAUUUAUGUUAGUAUAAGAAUUAUCAAUCUGAGGAGGUUGUCUCAAUUCUCCAUUCCACGAUUGAGAAAAAGGACGAUUAUGACCAUUGUUGGAGUUUUCACUGAUUUUUAGCUUACCCACAUCAGGCAUAGGUAUUUGAAGGCCUGAGGAGAAGCCUUGUGCAUCAGACCUAGGAGGCAUUGGUUGAGAAUGAUGCACAUGCGAAUUAGGUGGUAAGAAAUUACCAGGUGGAAUUACCGGUGAUGCUGGGAGGUUGUUUGGCCUUACUGGAGGAUAAUUAUUUUGAUAACUGCUCUGUGAGUUGUUUCCAUUUGUCCAGGAAGGCUCGAGAUUACCAGGACCACCGCUCGACGCAGAUAUGGGCCCACUGAACGGAGUCCUUGAAUUAUGAGCUCCAGGCAACUCCACUGAAUCAUUGAACUGCUUAGGAUACCCAUAUCCUGGUUGAUGGAAGUUUGCAGCACUACGAUUUUCUUGUGUGCCGGACAUUGUAGAUGAAGUUCGUGAUAUAUUGGGUUGAUUCACACUUUUACGAACUGGUCUACCCUUUUGUUUAUUAUCGGUACCCCUUCCCCCAUUGUUAAACUUCACUUGUGGGCUUUCAUGGAAAGUAUCAACAGCCUGGCUUAUCAGAUUGGAAUCACUAGAUGACGUAGAUAAUGCGUCUGAAGUGGCUAAAGAACCGUAACUGCUAUUUACAAGUUGACUUGAUUCACUAUUUGUCAAAGGCGGUCCUCCAGCUGAAAGGCUUGUCCAGAGCCAUACAGUCUUCGCAGCAGCAACAAGUGGCACGGAUGCUUUUUGAGGUUGUGCUAGAAGAAUAUUAUAUCUGCGCAUGCGUAAUUGAUGAAGUGCGUUUGAAAAGUCACGAUCUCCCGAAAUCAACAAAUAAUUAGCAGGUGCAGGAUUGUCAACUGCCCAAAAUAACAUGUCCACAAGAAUUUUUUUAUCACUUGCAUCUUUGACACCUAUACACAUUUGGUCCAAAAUUAGUCAAAGUUGACUCCAAGCAGUUCUAAACAGAUUUAAUCAAGCUACCAUAAGCGCUAAAAAUAAGAAUCAUGAACACACUGGUUUUCUCUUAGUGUAUACACCACCUCCAAAUGUUAUCUUAAGACUCAGUUAGCUAUUCACUUAGUUAACAACCAUCAAUAGAGGUAAGCUUAAUACUUUAGUCAGCUGGCACUGAAAAGGGAUCAACCAAAUAAGGAUAUUAGAUUAAGAUAAGAGUCAACUAAGGAAACCACAUAUCAACUCCAAAUUUUCACUUUUGUACAAAGCUGUAAGGCAGCAUAUGCGACCAGUCAGACUACAAAGUUUUAACACCUAGCGAGCACUGAUAUAAAGGACAGCCGGUGCACUAAGCUCCCGCUAUGCGCGGGUCCAGGGAAAGGCCAGACCACAAGGGUCUAUUGUACGCAGCCUUACCCUGCACUUACCUGCAUUUCUGCAAGAGGCUGUUUCCACAGCUUGAACCCGUGACCUCCUAGUCACAUGGAGGCAACUUUAAGCAAAUAUCAAUCAAUUCAAUAUGUUUAGAGCCAAAAACAUAGCUCCUACUAGCUCAAGGAAAUAACUUUCAAAGAAAUUUUCUCGGAAAAAAUUUAUGAAUCGACCAUGCACUCCUAGUUCAUAAUACAUAUGCUUAAAUUUUUAUUUUUAUUUUUGAAAAAAAAAACAUCUAUUCCAUUGUCAUCAAAGAGAAUGGACUGUGCAGUAGUAACCCACGCAAUGACUUAAAAUCCUGGAUCUGGCUCAGACCACUAUUUUGGUUUCUUCACGAUUUAGAGAAGAUGAGCUCUACAAUUACGAAACAAAAGAUCAGCAACUCAUAACAGUUUUCAAUCCAUGCUAAACAGAUACCAAACACCCCAUCCUUGUCACUGGUAGGGCGUUCGAAAAGAAAAGUAAAGAAAAGAACAUUAUUUCCUUUUAUUUUGAGUCACCUAAUAAAAAUAUUUUGUUUCAUAAAUUUAAAAACUUGGGUAUAUCAUUGGACAAAAUGCAAUUUUGCAUCUGACCGUGAGAAUUCAGACACAGGAAAAUCAGAUCGACACAUGCAUAGAUUCCAAGACUAAGAGUCAAUCAAGCGCUUUAGACCAUCAUAGACACUCCGUUGACUUAAAAAUCAGCACCAAAGACAAUCAAAAAGCCAAAAUUCAACUAGAUCUAACAGAUCCUGUUCAACCACACAAUUUCAUUUACCCUCCAACAUAGAUCAACUCAAGCAUCCAUCAAAUCAACUAAAAAGAAGUCAUUUUAUCAAAAUUAAACAAGCUAAAAACCAUGCAAACAACAAAAAUGUUUUUUUACGCAUCAGUCCACAAAAGUAUACCUGCAGGUACAUGAUUAAGGGCGAUUCCAGUACUAUUAAGCGCCUGCUGAACAGAAGGAGAGAUCUUAGUAGUAUCGCCGUAAGCAGAAAUUGAAACGGGUCCACAAUAGUUCAUAUUCACAAGAGCAGAACUUAUAUUCUGAGCAAUCGCGUGAGGAUCAGAUCCUCUAGGUACUUGACAGUUUUCUAUAUCCCACCACACCGAAAUCCUCGCCGUUGAGUACUGUGACUCCGCCGUACCCGACUGUUGCGGCCCUCCCCCUCCGCCGUUCCCGUUCCCGCCGGCACCGCCCAUUUCCUACGAUUCCUGGUCUUAAAAAAACACACAAAUUUAAGUACGAUUUUCCCGUUGCCGGAGAAGUGCGCACGAUAGCGAGUACCGAUGUCUAAAAUUUUAGUCUUUUUAUGUUGUCUGGUGUGUAAGGUUAGUUGAGGAGUGCGUAGGAUUAGAGAGGAUAUAGAGCGUUGGAAAAUAAUAAAGGGGUGAGGUGGGGAAUGUUGAGGGAUGCGUAGUGACUGGGGUGGAAGAUUCAUGGGGUCCUUGAAAUGACAAUUUUAUCCUUGAAUUGGAAAAUGAGUGAGUAAUAGUAGGAAUACUAAUUAUGGCUUGACUUCCAUUUAGAAAAAGAGCUUAGUAGGAAUACUAAUUAUCUGUAUUUUCUCUUUUUCUUUUUAUUUAAGUUUGAUUAUUGACUCUAUCAUUUCAGUAAAUAUUUUUCUAUUCCAGACUUACGUGGAUUGCAGUAAUUGGAUCUCUCAACGUCAUUAUUUUUUCCAUUUCUAUGGAUGAGAGUGUACCAUGAAGAAAUAUACAAAAAUGAAAGCUUCUAUGUGAAUAGAAUUCGUACUUUAUUAGGAAAAAAAUUAUUAGUAGCAUUUAAUAUACUGAGUGUAAAUAAGUUUUUUUUCCAUUUAACUGAAUGUAGAUUUGAACAGUCAAUGCAACUCUAAUCUAAGUAGUGGCAGUUUUGGAAUUGACAGAGUCACGAGUGGCUCGACUCGUAUUGUUAUUGACUAUAGUCUCUAUCUUUUAACUGUAGGCUGUAGCAUUUAAGUUUGAUCUUCGAAUCUUGGUCUUGAAGUAUCAUUUACUCUUGAAUAUGGAUUUUUUUUUUUUGAGGAUUUUUAUCUAGUUAUAUUAUACUACACUAUCUCAAUAAAUAUAAUAUUUUAAAGAAUUACAUAAAUUUUAUAUUAUUAUGGUUUGAGUUAUAAAAUAAAAGGUAAAGCUAAAAAUUGCAAGUUUCUGAAAAUGAUAAUUGUUGAUACUAUUUAUCUAACUCAAAAAAAGAAAAAAACUCUAUCCCUUAUAAGUUCUUAAUCAUCUCAUUCAAUUGACAGAAGACGCCUUCGUUUUGCUCACGAGCAAAAUGUAUUUUGUUCUAUUUCUUUAAUAUACAAGAAAUACCAUAAGAAUUAUUUUUAACAUAUUAAAAAAUAAAUUAUUAUCACAAAAAGUAAAUUCAACCGCUACAUUUUAAUUAAUCUACUCUUUUUGUUUUUAACUUUUCAUGUAUUAAAUUAUAUAUAUAAAUUUGUUCAAGAUUAUUAUAGGAUUUUGCAGUUGAUGCUUAUUACUAUAUUAUAAUCGAUUUUUCAUUAAUUUUUAUUCAUUCCACCUCAAAUGCUAUUCCUAUACAAAAGUCUAAUUUUUGUAUCUAAAAGUUUGUCAACUGAAAAUAAGGGUUUGCUUAUAUGAUGAAUUUGGAAAGAAAUUGAAUGGGAUUUAUUUUUUCAAUUUGUUAAUUCAAAAUUUUAAUAUUUAUUCUUAUUAAAGGAAAAGAUUUAAUUUUUAUUGAUUGAAAUUAAUAAUAUUAACUCAUUACAAGUUUUAAAUAUUUAACUAUAGUUAUAAUUUUAUUUAGAAUUAUAUUUUUCAAGCCUAAAAAAUCAAUCUAAUAUUUAAGUUUGGAUAUUUGUAUUUGCAAAGUUAUUCGUGUUUUUUAACUAUUGUCAACAUCCCAACACCUCUCUCUCUUUUAUGUUUUUGUAUUUACUUGUUGAAAUUAUUGAGGUGUAAUUUUCAAAUAUUAUAGUAUGAGAUAAAUUAUGCAAACUAUUAUUAAUAAUUAAUCACUCUCUCAUAUUUAUUUGAAAAGUCUUGCUCAUGUCUACAAUGGUUUUCAUCAUUUAACUUUGUGGCAUUUAUGUUUUUCCUCCUCGUAAUAGCAUAAGUAACAUUAAGUUGGUCUAUAUAAAGAAAAUCACAUAAAUUAGUAACAAUUUUUUAAUGCACGUACCACUAAUUCUUCCCAAUGGUUUGUUGUUGAUUUGGGGUUGUUGAUAGUUUUUCCUUUCCUUUUUCUUAACAAUUUAUUUUUUAAUUGAUUUUAAAGUCCUAAAUAUUAUGAUUUCUUACCUAGUUUAAAUAAGGAAGAAUUUAAAGCACAAAAUUUAGUUGAUCUAAAAUUUCUAAAUAUUAGGAAAUAAUUUUAAAUGUUGAUUUUGUCCAAUAUGAACUAUAUUUUAAAGGGGUAAAAAAGGCGAAUAACAUUUCGCUAAUUGCCUUCGUGCUUUUAAUAUAGUACAGAUUAGAAACUUAUUUACCUAUGUUCUCUAUGUUUUGCAGUUUUAAUAAGUAUCUAAGUUUUUCUUACAACUUGUAUACAUUGCUUCUUAAAAGGCUCCCACCCCAUUAUUAGUGUCUUCAAUUAAGGGAUUCAAUUACAUCCUUUCCUUUUUUUUCCCUUCUCCUCUUCUCUCUCCUUUUUAUUUAAAAAUUAAAAUCACUUAAUCUACAUCCAGAAUCUCCAUCUUCUCUCUUCACCAUUGCCUACAGCUUUAUAUUAUUUAAAAAUAUUUAAAAAUUGUAUGAUAACUGUAUCAUAAUUGUAGUUGAAUUGUAUCAAAUACAUCAAUGCCUAAAACAUAAAUGUAUCAUACUUGUAUCACAAUUGUAUCUAACUUGUAUUUGGUACAUUAAUACCCAAAAUAUUACCUGAUGCAAUAUUAAUAAAUUAAUAUACAAUUAUCAUAUUUGUGAUACAAAUUGUGAAAUUCGUCACAAAUUCACAACUGCUUGUAAUAAUAUACAAUGAAUAUAUAAUUCUCAUACAUUAGUAAUACAAUUCCUGCAACAAUUAUGAUACAUAUACAAUUAUAAUACAAUCGCGAUACAUUUCUGAAAAAUUAUAAUACAAUUAUGAUCUUUAUUUUCUUCAAGUGUCAAUCACAACUCUACACUAAUAAUUUAAUAUAAUAAUAUUAUAAUUGUAUUAGUAUUGUAUCCACAACUUACCCACAACUUGAUUGUAGAGAAAAUAUGUGUAAAUUAGAGGAAUGAGAGGUGUAUUUCAAGUGUAAAGUAUCCACGACAAAGGCAAUUCUGUGACCGCCUUUGGUUCAUAGUUGCCGUUUUGUGUAAAUUAUUUCUUGGAAGUAAAUAUCAUUCUUUUUGUUGCUUGUUUGUAAUUUUCUCCCCUCUAAGCUGUAGAAACUUGCAACCUUGUUCUUGUAAUCUCUUUCACUAUGGGUUUAUUUAUUUCAAUAUAGUUUUGGAUGAUUGAAAUAGAGAAAUCGGAUAUCAAACGCUUUGGAAGAAGAAAGAAUUUGCAAUUUUGGGGAUAAUAGUGGAUGAUUGAAAGAGAGAAAUCGGAUAUCAAAAGCUUUGGAAGAGGAGUGAGUAAGCGAGAUUUUUGGGUUAGAAGUAAGGGGGAAUUCUUACGGUGGGUAAGUACAAAAUUAGAAGAUGUUUUUGUAAUCCUUUAGAAAAAGGAAAAGAAUCUUAAAUGUAUGGGAUUAUGUGUAACUGAUACGCUAUUAUUAAGGUAUGUUGCAUUUCCUCUUUUUUAUGGUUUUGUAUAAAACUAGUAAAUAUAGGUAUAUAAAGUAAUUAACAAGGAAACUAAAUAAAGGUAGUAAAUAGGUUUCUAUUAUAGUAUAGCUAGGUAAAAAUUCCAUUUUUUUUCAAUCUAACACAGAUUGAUGUAAGCCAUUUGGGUUAGCUGAUUUCGAGUAGCUGAUAAAUAUUUAAGGUUGAAAAUUACUUUUAACUGUUGAAACUGAUUUAAUAAAUAAGCAAUUACGCUUUAUGAUAAAAGUGCUGAAAUUAAUAGUAAGCGUUUGAAACUCUUUGAUUAGAAAAUGCUGAUAAGCUCUUUUUAUGUUAAAAUGACUUGAAUGACCUUAUAACAAUUUACACUACUAAAAAUGUCAUUUUCUUCAAAAAUUUUAGAUUAUACAUAGAUUCAAAUAAAAAAUAACCUAUUUAUCAUGUUAUUUUAAUUAUAAAAUGAUUAGUUAAUACCAUUUUUUAUAAAUAUAAUUUAUGUUAUGAUAAGUAUACAAUCAUAAAUUAGAAUGGGUGGAGUAUAAAUUGACAAAAGUUAAGAAAAAAAAAAACUUAAAUAAUGCACACACUAUUUGUAGAGAAGAAGCAAGCACUUAUUAUGUAUUGCUUGGGAGAGAGUGAAAUUAUACGAGGAGUUUUGUUUUAAAAUAAGUAUUUUAGGGAUAGAAUAGUAAAUAUUUUGAUCAAACCUAAUGUGGUUAUAAGCUUAAAUUUGAUAAGUUGGGAGAGAUCAACUUAUGACUUUUGGCUUAUUUUUGGCUGAUAAGCACUAGAUUUAUAAAACACUUUUAAUUUUUCAAUCGUGUAGAUAAGCCAAAAAGUGCUUAUAAGCAUGUAUAACCAGCUUAUAAGCUUAGCUAAACACCCUCUUAAUAGGAUCUCUCAAUCUCAUUAUUCUUUUUUUUUUCCUUUUUGCCGCUGGUCGGUUUUUUCAAAUACAGUUUUUGUUCUUUUGAUUUGUUUUCGUAUGAGCGUGUUUCCAUGAAUAAUAGACAAAAAAAAAAUGCGUGGAAUAGAAAGUCUAAAGAAAUUGAACAAAUUGACCUAAUUAGAGAUGCAUCGUAAAGUUAUAACCAUUUACCAUUAGUAUUUUAAAAGGCGGGAGAACAUGAUGAGACGUUUUACUUAAUUAGUAAGUAAUUUUUACAAUUAUAUAUGAUGGAAAUAAUAUGCUACAAACUUAAAAGAAGUCCAAGACAAAAUUACAUGUAAACUAGACAUACAAAUUUUGAGUUACAUGAAAUAUAAAUUGAAAUACCUCUUUGAAGUGUGUAUAAAAGUUGUCCACGAGAUCAACCUUCAGNNNNNNNNNNNNNNNNNNNNNNNNNNNNNNNNNNNNNNNNNNNNNNNNNNNNNNNNNNNNNNNNNNNNNNNNNNNNNNNNNNNNNNNNNNNNNNNNNNNNNNNNNNNNNNNNNNNNNNNNNNNNNNNNNNNNNNNNNNNNNNNNNNNNNNNNNNNNNNNNNNNNNNNNNNNNNNNNNNNNNNNNNNNNNNNNNNNNNNNNNNNNNNNNNNNNNNNNNNNNNNNNNNNNNNGAAACGAUAUGUAACAACCAUCCAAACAAGCUGUAAAUAAUUUUUAGACUUUGUGUGAUGACCCAAUAUGUCAUCUAUGAUUUAAACCUAAUUUUGUGAUCUCAAACCUUUAACAGUCAUGUUUUAAAAUUCAUGUUUUUGGUAAACGAACUUAGUUCGUGUUUUGACGGUCCUGGUGGGUCCGGAUGGUGAUUUGGGAUUGGGGCGUAUGUCCAGAAUCAAACGGAAGUCCAUAUCCCGAGAUAUCGGACUACGUCGAAAUUUGAAAGUUGAAAGGUGUGUUUGGUAUGAAGGAAAAUGUUUUCCAAUUUUUCCAUGUUUGGUUGGCUUAAAUGUUCUCGAAAACAUUUUCCUUAUGAACUCAUUUUCCUCCAAUUGGAGGAAAAUAUUUUCCUUAUCAAGAGAAGGAAAAAUAUUUUUCAAAACUCCUUUUCAACUUUCUCCACCCUCACCAACCCACCCCACACCUACCCACCCCAUCCCUCUCUCCAAAAAGGUUUUUUUUUUUAAAUUUCAAUUUUUUUUCGUCACCACCCACCCUGCUACCCUCUCCACCCAGGGCAAUUUCUUUUUUUGUAAUUUCAAUUUUUUUUUCUAUACCACCCACCCCCACCUUGCCAACCCCACCCCACUACGCCCCACCCCUACCCUGCACAAAAAAGUUUUUUUUUCUUUUUUCUUUUCAAAUUAUUAUUUUUUCGUUUUUUUGCACAUAUCACCCCCCUUGAAAUUUUAUUUUUUUUAAUUAUUUUCAGUUUUAGUUUUUUCAUCUUUAGAUUUACAAGUUCCAAAGUUAGGAGUUCAGAGGUUUAUGUGUUCGGAAGUUUACGGGUUUAGAAAUUAUAAAGUUUACGGGUUUAGAAACAAUAAAGUUUACGAGUUAAAAAGUUUGCAGUUUUGAAAGUUUAGCGAUUCAGAAGUUUAUGAAAUUUUUGGGUGUCACGACCCGGAUUUCUCACCCUCGGGGGUCGUGAUGGCGCCUACUAGUGAAAUCUAGGCAAGCCAUUGUUCUAAUUACUUAACCUUUUUUUAUAUAUUUUAAUCCUUUAACAAUGGUGAACAAACAUCAUAUAAACAAUGGAAAUAUAAAGCGGAAGACUGAGACGUAACAAUUUAAUAAUGAUACCAAUGCCAAUCCAUAACAUAAGCUACCCAGAAUUGGUGUCACAAUAUCACAGACUGUCUAGGAAUACUACAAAUAAGGGUCCAAAAGAUAAAUAUAACGUUGUCUCUGAAAUACAUAAAAGAAACAGAAUGGAAAGAUAGAAGGAUAUGUCAAUGCCUACGGACGCCUGCAGAACUACCUCGGAUCUCCUGAUGGACUGAAGGCAGCCACCUCACAGCGGUCCAAAAGCUGCAGCACUCGGAUCUACACACAGUGCAGAGUAUAGUAUCAGCGCAACCGACCACAUGUGUUGGUAAGUGCCUCGCCUAACCUCGGCGAAGUAGUGACGAGGCUAGGACCAAACUACCAAAUAAACCUGUGCAGUUAAUCAUAUACGGCGGAAAAAUAAAAACAGAUAUUUACAGUUAAACAUAGAAGGGGGAAAGCAUGCUGCGGGGAGUAUUAGAUAACAACAUAAUACCAAUAAAAGAAGGUAAAGAAAAACCAUAAUUCAAUUGCUAACAGGAAUAAGGAAAACAAGCAGAAUAUUCACUGUCAUUUCUUUCUUGUUGCGGCGAGCAACCCGAUCCCAAAUCAUGUAAUACCGUUGUGGCGUGCAAUCCGAUCCCAUUUCAUAUAAUACCAUUGCGGCGUGCAACCCGAUCUCAUAUCAUAUAUUACCGUUGCGGCGUGCAACCCGAUCCCAUUUUAUAUAUUACCGUUGCGGCGUGCAACCCGAUCCCAUUUCAUAUAUUAUCGUUGCGGCGAGCAACCCGAUCCCAUUUCAUAUAAUACCGUUACGGCGUGCAACCCGAUCCCAUUUCAUAUAAUACCGUUGCGGCAUGCAACCCGAUCCCAUUUCAUAUAUUACCGUUGCGGCAUGUAACCCGAUCCUAUUUCAUAUGAUACUGUUUCGGCGUGCAACCCGAUCUCAUUUCAUAUGAUAUUGUUGCGGCGUGCAACCCGAUCCCAUAUACAAUUCAAUAUCAGUCAUAAAAGAAUCCCGGUAAGGGAACAAGAGUAUAACAACAACAUCCCGGCAAGAGAGACAAUAUCAUAAACAAUAACAUCCCGACAAGGAAGACAAUAUCAUAAAUAAUAACAUUCGGGCAAGGGUACCAAUAAUGAUAAUCAGCAAUAAGCAUGAACAAAAUCACAACGGAGUCACAACAAUUACAAUACGAGACUCACGGCAUGUUUGACACCGACGUAUAGAUACUCCUCACCAUGCCUAUACGUCAUACUCCACAAUUAACAACACAUAGCAAAUAAGACACAACUCCUAAUCCCUCAAGCUAAGGUUAGACCUAACACUUAUUUCGAUGCCACGAACACAAUUCAAGCCUCAACUACCGCUUUACCUCUUGUUUCCACCACCAAUUCGCUUGUCUAGCCACAAGUUAUUUAACUAUAUCAACAAAUGCUAAAUGAAUCAAUUCUAAUACAUGAAAAUAGGUUUUCCAAUGAUUUCCCCAAAAAGUCAAAAAUCGACCCCGGGCCCACAUGGUCAAAACCUGAGGUUCGAAUCAAAGCCCGAUUACACAUUCACCCACGAACACCAAUAUAUAAUUUGUUUUGAAAUCGGACCUCAAAUCGAGGUCCAAAUCCCCAAAAUUUGAAAAUCCUAAGUUCUACCCAAAACACCCAAUUUUCUCCAUGAAAACCCUUGAUUUUGAGUUGAAAUCAUGUAAAAAGAUGUUAUAAAUUAAAGAAAAUGAGUUAGAAAUGACUUACAAUCAAUUUGGAGGAGAACUUUUCUUUAGAAAAUCGCCCAAGAGAGUUUAGGUUUUGAACAAGUUGUAAAAAUGGUUGAAAUCCUGUAUAAAAUUCAUUUAGCAGGUCUCUGAUGUCGCAAUUGCGACCAGGGUUCGCAAUUGCGAACCCUUAAGAAACCUGCUUCCUUCGCAUUUGCGAAGGUAUUGUCGCAUUUGCGAUAUCGCAAUUGCGAUAAAGGUGUCGCAUUUGCGACUUCUGACAUGUACUGAAGACUUCGCAUUUGCGAAGUAUAUCUCGCAUUUGCAAGGUAAUGUUGGCCCUGGGUUCUUCGCAUUUGCGACAAAAUCCUCGCAUUUUCGAACCCUGCUUGCAUCACAAUUGCGAUGCAUGUUCUCGCAUUUGCUAUAUUAGAGGCCUGCUACACACCUGCAAGACACCAACAAUUCUCCUAAGUCCAAUUACACUCUGUGGCCUAUCCAAAACUCACUCGAGCCCUCGGAGCUCCAAACCAAACAUGCACCCUAACCUAAAAAUAUCAUACGGACUUGCUCGCGCAAUCAAAUCAUUAAAUAACCUCAACAAUUACAAGUUUAACAUCAAAAUCAAAGAAAAUCUCAAAAACUUUCAAAGUUUCAAAUUUUACAACUAAGGUUCCAAAUCACGUCAUAUGACCUCCGUUUCUUACUAAAUCUUACACGCUUAACUUAAAUGCCAUAUAAGACCCGUACCAUGCUCCAAAACCAAAAUACGGGCCCGAUACCAUCAAAUUCAAACACAUUCAAAUUUCUAAAAACUCUUAUAAUUUCAGUUAAAUAAUUUUCUUCAAAAAUUUAUUUCUCAGGCUUGGGACCUCGAAAUUCAAUUUCGGGCAUAUGUCAUAGUCCCAUAUUUUCCUAAAGACCCUCCUGGACCGUCGAAUCAUGGGUCCGGGUCUGUUUACCAAAAAUGUUGACCGAAGUCAACUUAAAUUCAUUUUAAAAGCAAAAUUUAUCCUUUUCACAGAUUUUCACAUAAUGAAUUUUCGAAUACACGCCCGGACUGCAUACGUAAAUCGAGGUGAGGCAAAAGAAGGUUUUAAGGCCUCAAAACACCGAAUUUAUUUCCACCUCUAAAACAAUCGUUCGUCCUCGAACGGACAUAAGAAGGAAGUACCUGAGUCGGAGAAAAGAUGGGGAUAUCGGCUCCGCAUAUCGGACUCGGACUCCCAGGUCGCUACCUCAACAGGCUGACCUCUCUACUAAACACGAACAGAAUGGAAACUUUUCGAUCUCAAUUGACGAACCUGCCGGUCUAGAAUAGCUACCAGCUCCUCAUCAUAGGCAAGUCCUUGUCCAACUGGACAAUGCUGAAGUCUAUCACGUGAGAUGGAUCACCGUGAUACUUCCGAAGCAUGGACACAUGAAACACUGGAUGCACGACUGAUAAGCUCGGCGGAAACGCAAGUCUGCAAGCCACCUCUCUCACUCGAUCAAGAAUCUCAAACGGGCCAAUGAAUCUAGGGCUAAGCUUGCUCCUCUUCCCAAAUCUCAUCAUGACCUUCAUAGGCGACACCCGAAGCAACACCUGUUCGCCGACCAUGAAUGCCACAUCAUGAACCUUACGGUCGGCAUAAAACUUUUGUCUGGACUGAGUUGUACGAAGCCUAUUCGGAAUGAUCCUGACCUUGUCCAAGGCCUCCUAUACUAGAUCUGUACCCAACAACCGAGCCUCUCCCGGCUCAAACCAUCCAACCGGCGACCGAACCGCCUACCAUAUAAAGCCUCAUAAGGAGCCAUCUGGAUGCUCGAUUGGUAAGUGUUGUUGUAGGCAAACUCCGCUAAAGGCAAAAACUGAUCCCACGAGCCUCCAAAGUCAAUGGCCCAAGCUCGAAACAUAUCCUCCAAAAUCUGAAUAGUACGCUCGGAUUGUCCCGUCCGUCAGAGGAUGAAACGAUGUGCUCAACUCAACCCGUGUGCCCAACUCACGCUGAACUGCCCUCUAGAAAUAUGAGGUAAACUGCGUACCUUGGUCCAAAAUGAUGGACACAGGCACACCAUGAAGACGAACAAUCUCCCAGAUAUAGAUNNNNNNNNNNNNNNNNNNNNNNNNNNNNNNNNNNNNNNNNNNNNNNNNNNNNNNNNNNNNNNNNNNNNNNNNNNNNNNNNNNNNNNNNNNNNNNNNNNNNNNNNNNNNNNNNNNNNNNNNNNNNNNNNNNNNNNNNNNNNNNNNNNNNNNNNNNNNNNNNNNNNNNNNNNNNNNNNNNNNNNNNNNNNNNNNNNNNNNNNNNNNNNNNNNNNNNNNNNNNNNNNNNNNNNNNNNNNNNNNNNNNNNNNNNNNNNNNNNNNNNNNNNNNNNNNNNNNNNNNNNNNNNNNNNNNNNNNNNNNNNNNNNNNNNNNNNNNNNNNNNNNNNNNNNNNNNNNNNNNNNNNNNNNNNNNNNNNNNNNNNNNNNNNNNNNNNNNNNNNNNNNNNNNNNNNNNNNNNNNNNNNNNNNNNNNNNNNNNNNNNNNNNNNNNNNNNNNNNNNNNNNNNNNNNNNNNNNNNNNNNNNNNNNNNNNNNNNNNNNNNNNNNNNNNNNNNNNNNNNNNNNNNNNNNNNNNNNNNNNNNNNNNNNNNNNNNNNNNNNNNNNNNNNNNNNNNNNNNCUUAGGGACAUCGGAUGCCCUAAUCCUCAACUGAUGGUAACCAGAUCUCAAGCUAAUCUUCGAAAAUACUUUGGCACCCUGAAGCUGAUUAAACAAAUCAUCAAUCCUCGGUAAUUGAUACUUAUUCUUGAUUGUAACCUUGUUCAACUGCCGGUAAACUAUACACAUCCUCAUCGAUCCAUUCUUCUUCUUAACAAACAACACCGGUGCACCCCAAAGCGAGACACUAGGCCUAAUAAAGCCCUUAUCAAGCAAGUCUUGCAACUGCUCCUUCAAUUCUUUCAACUCAGGCAGGGCCAUACGAUAUGGCGGAAUAGAAAUGGGCUAAGUGGCCGGAGCCAAGUCAAUAUCCCUAUCGGAUGGCAUGCCCGACAGGUCUGAAGGAAACACCUCAGGAAACUCACGAACGACAGGCACAGAAUCCAUAGAAGGAACCUCAGCACUAGAAUCACGAACAUAUACUAAAUAGGCCAAACACCCCUUCUCGACUAUUCGCUGAGCCUUCAUAUAUGAGAUAACACUACGGGUAGAAUGACCAGGAGUCCCUCUCCACUCUAAACAAGGCAACCCAGGCAAGGCUAAGGUCAUAGUCUUGGCAUGACAAUCCAAGAUAGCGUGGUAAGGUGAUAACCAGUCCAUCCCCAAUAUGACAUCAAAAUCAACCAUGUCCAAAAGUAAUAAGUCUACUCGGGUCUCAAGACCCCCAAUCACAAAUAUACAAGAACGAUGCACACGAUCUACCACAAUAUAAUUACCCAUCGGUGUAGACACAUAUACAAGAGCACUCAAAGAAUUACUAGGCAUGACCAGAUACGGUGCAAAAUAAGAUGACACAUAGGAGUAUGUAGACCCUGGAUCAAAUAGAACUGAAGCAUCUCUACUACAAACCAGAACAGUACCUGUGAUAACGACAUCGGAAGCCUCAGCCUCAGGCAUGGCUGGAAGAGCAUAACAUAGGGGCUGGGCCCCACCACUCUAAACUAUAUCUCUAGGACUACCUCCGGCUGGCUGGCCUCCACCUCUAGCGGCCUGAGCUCCAUAUCUAGUACCUCUACCUCCACCUCUAGCUAGCUGAGCGGGCGGUGGAACACUCGGUGCCUGAAUCAUGGCACGGGAACCUUGGUGCUAAGAACUACCCGAUGCUCGAGGGUAAAAUCUAGCAAUAUGCCUCGUGUCGCCACAAGUAAAACAAGCCCUCAACUGCUAGGACUAACGAACCUGAAAACUCUGGAGCGGAGCUGCACUGAUAGGAGCUGACGGUGCAUUAUAGGACUGCUGAUCAAAAUACUACAUGUGAGAACCACGGCCACCUGGAGCACCAUGAGAAGCCUAAAGUGCUGAAUGAAAUGGCCUGGGAGGAUGGCCCCUACCAAAAGAAUCCAUACCUCUAGACGAGGCACCACUGAACCUACCAGAAUGACAAGGUCUCUUGUCAGACCCCUGACCACCCUCUGUGAUAGAACCAUCUCAACUCUCCUGGCCACAUUGGCCGCAUCCUGAAAAGAAAUCUAGCUCCCCGUCUCCUUAACCAUCUGUAAUCGAAUAGGCUAAACGAGUCCCUCAAUGGACCUCCUCUCUCUCUCUCUCAAUAGGAAGUAUAAGAAGAACAUGACGGGCCAAAUCAAUAAACCAGGUCUCGUACUGAGUAACAGUCAUAGAACCCUGUUGGAGACGCUCAAACUAGUUCUCCCUCUGAGUGAUAGGAAGAAACUUCUCCAGAAAUAGCUGAGAAAACUGAUCCUAAGUUAAAGCUGGUGACCCAGCUGGUCUUGCCAAACAAUAAUCUCUCCACCAAGUCUUGGCGGAUCCAGACAGAAAAGUAGCAAAGUCGACCCUAUUGGUCUCCAUUAUCCCCAUGUUCCUAAGAACCUCAUGACAACUGUCUAAAUAAUCCUGGGGAUCCUCGAAAGAUGCACCGCUGUAAGUGGUAGUGAAGAGCUUGGUAAACCUAUCCAAUCUCCAAAAAGGCAUCAGCAGACAUGGCUGGCCCCUCUCCGGACCGUGCCACAAUACCAGGCUGAACUACCCCAACUGGCUGAGCUGCUGGAGUCUGAAACUGGGGAGCCAUCCGCUCCGGAGUGCGAGUAGUAGGAGUCUGGGCUCCUCUUCCAGCCUGAGAGACGGUUGGUGCUACAGGGAGCAAGCAUGCCUGGGCAACACUCUCCAUAAGGCCUUCUAGAUGGACUAGAGCAUCCUGAAGUACCGGGGUGGCGAUGAACCCCUCUGGGACCAGAGUUGGCCCCACUAUAACUGACUAGGCUAGAGCCUCCUCAUCGAACUCAACGUGAGGCUCCGCCACUGGAGCUGCUGCUUGAGCUUUAGGCUGAGCUAUGCCUCUACCUCGGGCCCUAGCACAGCCUCUGUCUCUACCCUUCGCAGGAGCUACUACUAGGGUCUCGGGUUGCUGGUCAGCUAAUGAAGCGGUACGUGUUCUCACCAUCUGCGAGAGAACAGAGUAGAAGUUCAAUUAACAUUGAGAAAUCAAGUCGCACGACAGGAAAGAAUAGAUGUGAAUUUUUUCCUAACUAUGUAGCCUCUAGGGGAUAAAUACAGAAGUCUCCAUACUGAUCUCUCAGACUCUACUAAGCUUGUACAUGAAUUAUGAGACAUAAGUAACCUAGAGCUCUGAUACCAACUUGUCACAACCCAAAUGUCCCACCCUCGGGGGUCGUGAUGGUGCCUACUAGUGAAAGCUAGGCAAGCCAACUAUUACAAUUACUUAACCUUUUUCAUAUAUUUUAAUCCUUUAACAAUGGUGAAUAAACAUCAUAUAAACAGCGGAAAUAUAAAGCGGAAGACUGAGACGUAAUAAUUUAAUAAUGAUACCAAUGCCAAUCCAUAACAUAAGCUACCCAGAACUGGUGUCACAAUAUCACAGACUGUCUAGGAAUACUACAAAUAAGGGUCCAAAAGAUAAAUACAACGCUGUCACUGAAAUACAUAAAAGAAACAAAAUGGAAAGAUAGAAGGAGAUGCCAAGGCCUACAGACGCCUGCAGGACUACCUCGGAUCACUUGAUAGAUUGAAGGCAGCCAUCUCACAGCGGUCCAAAAGCUGUAGCAUCAGGAUUUGCACACAGUGCAGAGUGUAGUAUCAGCACAAUCGACCCCAUGUGCUGGUAAGUUCCUAGCCUAACCUCGGCGAAGUAGUGAUGAGGCUAGGGCUAGACUACCAAAUACACUUGUGCAGUUAAAUCAUAAACGGCGAAAAAAUAAAAGAAGAUAUUUACAGUUAAACAUAGGAGGGGGAAAACAUGCUGCGGGGAGUAUCGGAUAAUAAUAGAAUACCAAUAAAGGAAGGUAAAGAAUAAGGAAAACAAACACAAUAUUCACUUUCAUUUCUUUCUUGUUGCGGCGAGUAACCCGAUCCCAAAAUAUGUAAUAUCGUUGCAGCGUGCAACCCGAUCCCAUUUCAUAUAAUACUAUUGUGGCAUGCAACCCGGUCCCAUUUCAUAUAUUACCGUUACGGCGUGUAAUCCGAUCCCAUUUUAUAUAUUACCAUUGUGGCGUGCAACCCGACCCCAUUUCAUAUAAUACCGUUGCGGUGUGCAACCCGAUCCCAUUUCAUAUAAUACCAUUGCGGUAUGCAACCUGAUCCCAUUUCAUAUAAUUCCGUUGCGGCGUGCAACCCGAUCCCAUUUUAUAUAUUACCAUUGCGGCAUGUAACCCGAUCGUAUUUCAUAUGAUACCGUUGCGGCGUGCAACCCGAUCCCAUAUAUAAUUCAACAUCAGUCAUAAAAGAAUCCUGACAAGGGAACAAGAGUAUAACAACAACAUCCCGGCAAGGGAGACAAUAUCAUCAACAAUAACAUCCCAGCAAGGAAGACAAUAUCAUAAACAAUAACAUCCCGACAAGGGUACCAACAAUGAUAAUCAGCAUAUUAAGUAUGAACAAAUCACAACGGAGUCACAACAAUUACAAUACGAGACUCACGGGCAUGCUUGACACCGACGUAUAGAUACUCGUCACCAUGCCUAUACGCCGUACUCCACAAUUAACACAUAGCAAAUAAGACACAACUCCUAAUCCCUCAAGUUAAGGUUAGACCAAACACUUACCUCGAUGCCACGAACACAAUUCAAGCCUUAACUACCGCUUUACCUCUUGUUUCCACCACCAAUUCGCUUGUAUCUAGCCACAAGUUACUUAACUAUAUUAAUAAAUGCUAAAUGAAUCAAUUCUAAUACAUGAAAAUAGGUUUCCAAUGAUUUCCCCAAAAAGUCAAAAAUUGACCCCGGGCCCACAUGGUUAAAACCCGAGAUUCGAACCAAAACUCAAUUAUCCAUUCACCUACAAAAACAAAUUUAUAAUUUGUUUUGAAAUCGGACCUCAAAUCGAGGUCCAAAUCCCCAAAAUUUGAAAAUCCUAAGUUUUACCCAAAACACCAACUUCCCCCCAUGAAAACCCUUGAUUUUGAGUUGAAAUUAUGUAAAAAGAUGUUAUAGAUUAAAAACAAUGAGUGAGAAAUGACUUACAGUAGAUUUGGAGGAGAACUUUUCUUUAGAAAAGCGCCCAAGAGAGUUUAAGUUUAGAAAAAGUUAUAAAAAUGGUUGAAAUCCCGUCUGAAAUUCAUUUAGCAGGUCUCUGAUAUCGCAAUUGCGACUAGGGUUCCCAAUUGCGAACCCUUAAGAAACCUGCUUCCUUCGCAAUUGCGAUAAAGGUGUUGCAUUUGCGACUUCUGACAUGUACUAAAGGCUUCGCAUUUGUGAAGUAUACCUCGCAUUUGCGACAAAAUCCUCAUAUUUGCGAACCCUGCUUGCAUCGCAAUUGCGAUGCCUGAUCUCGCAUUUGCGAGAUCAGAGGCCUGCUACACACCUGCAACACACUAGCAAUUCUCCUACAUCCAAUUUUACUCUGUGGCCUAUCCAAAACUCACCCGAGCCCUCGGGGCUCCAAACCAAACAUGCACCCUAACCUAAAAAUAUCAUACGGACUUGCUCGCGCAAUCAAAUCAUCAAAAUAACCUCAAUAAUUACAAGAUUAGCAUCAAAGUCAAAGGAAGUCUCAAGAACUUUCAAAGUUUCAAAUUUUACAACUAAGGUUCUGAAUCACGUCAUAUGACCUCUGUUUCUUAACAAUUCUUACAGGCUCAACUUAAAUGCCAUAUAAGACCUGUACCGGGCUCCAAAACCAAAAUACGGACCCGAUACCAUCAAAUUCAAAUACAUUCAAAUUUCUAAAAAUUCUUAUAAUUUUAGUUAAAUAAUUUUCUUCAAAAAUUUAUUUCUCGGGCUUGGGACCUCGGAAUUCAAUUUUGGGCAUACGCCCAAGUCCCAUAUUUUCCUACGGACCCUCCGAGACCGUCGAAUCAUGGGUCCGAGUCUGUUUAUCCAAAAUGUUGACCGAAGUCAACUUAAAUUCAUUUUAAAAGCAAAAUUUAUCAUUUUUCACAGAUUUUCACAUAAUGGCUUUCCGGAUACACGCUCAGACUGCGCACGCAAAUCAAGGUGAGACCAAAAGGAGGAUUUUAAGGCCUUGGAAUACCGAAUUUAUUUCCAUAAUAAGUGAUGACCUUUUGAGUCAUCAUAGUGGAUUCGGAAGGUUGUUGGUUCGAAAGUUUAUGGCUUCAUAUUUAUUGUAUCUAAAUUAUUUAUGAAUACUCUUGACAAGUUAUUUUCCUUAAUUUGCGUACCAUACACCGAAAAAUGAAUAAGAUUACUACUUUUUUUCUUAGAAAAUAUUUUCUUGGAAAAUAUUUUUCUUUAUACCAAACACACCUGAAAGCUUAAUGAAAUUGAAGUGUUUGACCAAAGUUUGACUUUUUGAUAACGAGUCCAUAUUUUGGUUUCGGAACUCGGUAUAGGUCCAAUACCUUUAUGAUUUGUCUGCAAAAAUUUGGUGAAAAACGGAGUUGAUUUGACGUGAUUCAGACGUCCAAUUGUGAAAAUAGGAAUUUCAAAGUUUUCUUGAAGAUUUCAUUCGAUUUGGUGUUCAAUUCGUAGUUCUAGGUAUUAUUUUGGUUAAUUGAUCGAGCGAGCGAGCGAGCAAGUUUGUGUGAUGUUUUUAGACUAGUGUGCAUUUUUGGUUUAGGGCCUCGAGGGUUGAUCACUCCCUACUCCGCACUACUAAAAAGUAGGAAGAGAGGGUCGCAAUAGCUUUUACCCGAUUUGUGAGUCGACAUCGAUUUCCACAGGGAGCUAGAAAUGGAGUCGAGUAUCUAUUUAGAUUGGGAUUGUGUAAUUGUUCCAAAUAUCACUUCCAAUCAUUUUUGGUUUUUCUUUAACAAAAUACUAUUAUCAACUACUAAUUAUAAAUGCAACUAGAUUAUGCUAAACGAGAAUUGCUAAAAGUUAUAUCUAAUAGAUAAAAAGGCACUAGAGUAGUGGCAUCCUCCUAGGUGGCCAAUUGACGGGUAAUUGCUUCUAAGGCACGAUUGAUAUGAUUGGGGAAACAUGCUAUAACCGCUGCACAAUUUUACCCACUCUCACACCUCUCGGUAGAGAGAGUGAUUUUGCCCAAUUGACUUUCUCAAGACCAAAUGGGUAGACAAUUUUACUCAAACAACUAGGGUUCAAGUCGGGUAAUUACUCUCUCGAGGUUUAACCCUUUAAUUGGGACUAUUAAUUCUUUUGAGUCCAUCCCAAUUCCUUGUUGGGUCAAUUUUGGAGACUUAGGCUCUCUUUCUCAAGAAGAACCAAGUCAACUUAGCACAAGCCAGUGUUUGCAACCACCAAUUCAUAAAUUAAACCAUAAAAUUGACCCAAAUAACAAACACCCAUAGUCAAUCUAGCCCUAAAUCACAAUACUCAUCAAUUACCCACACUAGGGUUGAGCCAUAACCCUAGCUAAUGGGUCUAGCUACUCAUGCUUGAAGAGAAAAACAGAGAAAUAGAUGAAUAUAAAGACAUAUUAAUUAAUUGCUAAAGUAAAUACAAAGAUUCAAUGAUAAAACCUAAGUAAAAAGUGCUCAAAAUGGCUACAGAUGGUCUUCUCACGAGCGCCCCUCAGUUCAGAAAAUAGCUGAUACCCUAAAAAGUGGAAAAAGGNNNNNNNNNNNNNNNNNNNNNNNNNGAUGGUCUUCUCACGAGCGCCCCUCAGUUCAGAAAAUAGCUGAUACCCUAAAAAUGGAAAAAGGUUCUAUUUAUUCUAAGUUGAAAAAACUGGACAAAAAUGCCCCUGCGGGGUCAGUGCGGACCAUACAAAAUGGUGUGCGGACGCACUAGGCUCUUGACUCUGCAAUUUCAACUCUCUGAACCUAGGCUUCGCGGACCACAUAGAAUGGACCGCGGCCGUGGAGGUUUCCAAUGCGGUCCGCGCAUAGUGGAUCGCAGCCGCGGUGGCUUCCAAUGCGGUCCGCGCAGAAUGCAUUGCGGACUACAUAGGCUUGAACCUUGGCACUUGACAUCUCUCUAAAGUUUGCUUCCGUGGACCACAUAAAACGGUAGUGCGGCCGCGGUGUCUUCAGCGCGGACCGCACAAUAUGUACUGCGGCCGCACUGCUUUGAUGCCUUUAAAACCAGCUCUCUGAAUCUCCCUAGUGUGGACCGCACAAAGUGUAGUGCGGCCGCACUAGGCCUGUUUAUCCUGAGUUGUCUUGUCUUUGGUACUAGUGCAGGUUUCACUCCUUUUUGAGCCGAUCUUUGACGUCUCGUCACUUUGUUGAUCAAACCUGCAAUCAAGCACAACUUAUGAGCCUUUUGGGACUAUUUUGUAAGAAUUUAUAAUCAAAUCGUAAGCAAGAAGGAGCAUGAAACACGUGAAAAUCCCUAGUUAUCAAGGGUUCAGGUGAGCUUCGGAUAGAUUACGAAGUAAUUUUGGACUUGGUGAAAUUUGCUAGUGUAACUAAUCUUGUUGCAGGCCUUUGAUCUCGCAUUUGUGAGAUCAGGCAUCACAGUUGCAACAUCUGAGAGUUUUGUAUUUGCGACUUCUCAUCGCAAAUACGAAGAGGAGAUGGGCCACACAGGUUUCACAAUUGCAAAAUAACCUUCACAUUUGCGAAGUUGGUCUGGGGAAGGUAGACUUCGCAUUUACGACGAUUGUGUCGCAUUUGCGAUCAUCCAGUGUUCGCAUUUGUGAAUCUUUCUUCGCAGUUGCAAAAAAUGCAGAAGUGUGAAGGACUUCGCAUUUGUGAUGGUCCCUUCGCAUUCGCAGGCUUCGCAAGGUCGCAAAUGCGACAUCUGCAUCUAAUUAAAUAAGACUUAGAUGGGAUUUUUGAUUUGUUUCCCAAAUUUUCAAAUCCUAGAACCCUAGAGGUGAUUCUUCCAAGAACAUUUCUUCCCCAAAAUAUUGGUAAGUGAUCCUAAACCACUCUCUUUCAAUUACCUAUCACAUUUCAUAAAUUUUCAACCUAAAAUCUAGGAUUUCCAUGGUAGAAAUUAGGGGUUUAGGUAGAAUUAGGGGAUUUUUGGACAAUUGAGAUUAGACCUCAAAUUAAGGUCGGAUUCUAAAAUUAAUUGCAUAAUCGAGCUCGUGGGUGAAUGGGUGAAUGAGUUUUGGGCUGAACCUCGAGUUUUGACCAAGCGGGCCUGGGUUCGAUUUUUGACUUUUGGGGAGAAAGUUUGGAAAAUUAAAAUUUAUGCAUUGUAAUUGAUUCCUUUAGCAAUAUUUGAUGUUAUUGAGUUAAUUAUGGCUAGAUACGAGUGGUUUGGAAGUGUAUUCUAGAGGAAAAGCGGUAAUUGAGCAUUGAGUGGCCUGUGAAGCGGGGUAAAUGUUGUGUCUCACUUUGACUUGAGGGAUUAGGAACCCUCGACCUGUUUGCUAUAUGAAAUUCAUGUGAGCAGCGUAUAUGUGAGGUGAUGAGUACUUAUGCGCAGCCAAGUUAUCUGUUUUUGCAUUUUUCUUUCCCGUCCUUCUUAUAUUGUCUUUUUCCCUGCCUUAAUUAUUACAUGCUUUACUUGUAUUCCCAUGCCUAAUUGCUACGUGUUAGACAUCGUUUCCCUUUGUUGAAGGUGUUAGUUAUUCCGUAGCUUCGUUAUCUCCUAUUAUUCGCUUAAGUUAGUUUAUCGGUGCUUUUAUGAUAUAUUCUGGAUUGGUCUCGCUGAGUCAUGUUACCUGUGUGAAUUUUCAUAGUUUGCAAGCUUCCCUUUUGCUUUGGUUUGGAGUUUAAGUAUUGUGAAUGGUUUUGUGAUUUGAAUUGUGAAAUUUUUGUACUUACUGAGUAAUUGAUAUUGAUAUGGUGGGAUUGGGUUGCACGCCGCAAUAGGUAGAAUAAGAGUGAAUUGAUAUUGUACGGUGGGAUCGGGUUACAUGUCGUAACAUGUGUAAUAAGGGUGGAUUGUGGUGGAAUAAGGGUGAAUUGUAAUUGUGAUUAUUGUGAUAUGGUGGGAUCGGGUUGCACGCCGCAACAAUGUUAUUUAUAUUCUUUUGUUUAUGAUAUUAAGAGGAAAUAAGGGUGGAUAUAAUAUGUACGGUGGGAUCCGGUUGCAUGCCGCAACAACCUAUAUAUUUAUUCUUUCUAUGACUGUGUUAGUUGUACGAUAGUGUUAAAUUGCACUUAAGGAUUGGUAGUAUCUGAACACUAAUGAAAUACUUUGAGGACUGCAUUUACUUCUUGCAAGUUACUGCUUUAUUUUACUCUAUCUUUCUUUUUGUUUUUAUUAUAUAUUGUAUGAAGAUUAUAUUGUAAGUGCCUUACCGUAGCCUCGUCACUCCUUCGUCGAGGUUAUGUAACGACCCGGCCGGUCGUUUCAUGUGUUGUCGCUCUGUUUCCCCCCAUUUCUGCUUCUUAUUGCCUUGUUCAGCUUUAUUAUGUAUUAUCGGGUUGGUUGGCUCGGUUUCGGAAAGGUUUUGGUAAGGUUUGAGACACUUAGUCUCUUUUGAGUAAGCUUAAGUUGGAAAAGUCAAUCGGAAGUUGACUUAUGUGAAAAAGGGUUCGGAUGUAAAUUCCAAUGGUUUAGAUAGCUUCGGAAGAUGAUUUGGGGCUUAGGAGUGUGAUUAGAACAUGUUUUGGAGGUCCGUAGUGGAUUUAGGCUUGAAUUGGCAAAAUUGGAAUUUGGCAUUUUUCGAUUGAUAGGUGAGAUUUUGAUGUAGGGGUCAGAAUGGAAUUUCGAGAGUUGCAGUAGGACUGUUGUGUCAUUUGGGAUAUGUGUGCAAAUGUUCAAGUCAUUCGGAUGUGGUUUGAUAGACUUUUUGAUCAAAAGUAGAAUUUAGAAGAUUUUUGGAACCUUAGGCUUGAAUUCGAUGUGAUUUGGUUGAUUCGAUGUUGUUUGAGGUGUUUUGAAGAUUGGUAUAAGUUUGGAUAGUGUUAUAUGAUUGGUUGGUGAUUUUGGUUGAGGUCUCGGGGGCCUCGGGGUGAUUUCGGAUGAUUGAUGGAAGAUUUUGAGUUGGGUUUGGCAGCUGAAGAUUUCCCAUUGCUGUCAUAACCGUACCUACGGCUAGGGGACCGCAGGUGCGGGCUCGCAGAAGCUCCAAUAGGUUGCAGAUGCGGAAAAAGGGCCGUGGGAGCUGGAACCGUAGAAGCGGCAAUUUGAGUGCCCUUGCGGUAUUGCAGGUGCGGGAGAUCGAUCAUAGAUGCGGUGCCUGGGUUUCAAGUGAGGACUGCCGAUGCGGUGUCUUGGACCGCAGAAGCGGUAAUGGGACCGCAGGUGCGAAAAGCCUGGGUUAGAAGGUAUAAAAGAUUUCCUUCGCGAAUUUUGAGUUAUUCUUCACCAUUUUCAUACGGGUUUGAGCUUGAGGGAGUAUUUGAAUAGGGAUUUCAUAGAGGUAAGGUUUUGGACCCUAGACUUGUUUCUAUGGUAUUAUUUCACUGAUUUGGCUUGAAAAUUUAUGAAAAUUAAGGGUUAAAAAUUGGGAAUCUAGGGCUUGAGAUUGGAGACCUUUGAGCAAGGGUUUGAGGGGUCAUUUGUGGUAGGAUUUUAGUACUUUUGAUAUGUAUGAACUCGUGGGGAGAUAAGGAGUCUAUCGUUGUAAAUUUUAUCAAAUUUCGAGAUGUGGGCCCGGGGGUCGGGUUUUGUUAAUUUCGGGAUUUGCGUGGUAUUUUGAUUACGUUUGAGUGAGCUUUGUUCCCUAAGCAUAUUUCGAUGAUUAUAUACUGAUUUUGGUUAGAUUUGGAGCAUCCGAAGGCCGAUUCGAGAGGUAAAGGCAUCGCGAGCUAGAGUUUGAAUUGGAUAGAGGUGAGUAAUGAUUGUAAAUGUUGUCCUGAGGGUAAGAAACCCUGGACUUCACAUAGUUGUGCUAUUAUGAGGUGAUACACACGUAGAUGACGAGCGUGGGGUCGUGCACCAUUAGAGAUUGUGACUUAGUCCGUCCCUUAUGACUGUUUUACCGUAUAUUUGAUUGAAAAGUGGUUGCUAUCAUUAUGUUUUGGGUUGAAUGCUAUAUUUGGGCCUCAUGCCAAUUGUUUUGGACCCUUAGGGGAUUUUUACUACUUUACCUCACUGUUUUGACUUUAUACCUGUACUCAGUCAUGCUAUAUUCUACUAUUUUUAUAACUCAUCCAUGUUUACUCUGUUUUGACAUCUUAAAUGAAAUUUUGAGCUAAACAUCAUAUUUUACUGUGCUCGAGUGGCUUUUAGAGAUUUCUAACUGAGUAGGGUCGAGGGCCUGUGUUGUGAGGUUAUUAUGGGAUCGGGCUGCGCGCCACAGUGGUACUGAGCUGAUUCAUGAUUAUGAGGCCGAGAGCCUGAGUUGUACGCCACAUGAUGGCUUGAUAUGAGGCCGGGAGCCUAUUGAUUAUGCCACGAGAUGGCUUGAUAUUGUGCUUAGGCCGUAAGGGGCCCCUUCCGAAGUUUGUACACCCCCAGUGAGCGCAGGUACCCAGUGAGAUAUGUGAUGUAGCCCGAGGGGCUAAGGUUGUUCCAUGAUAUUGCCCGAGGGGCUGAUUUCUGUUGAUAUUGUGCCUGAGGGCUGAUUUUAUGUGUUUAUCUCUUCUCGCUGCUUUUCAUUCACUUGUUUAACUGUUAGAAGAUGUUUUAAAGAGGUUCUUACUGAACUAAGGUAUUAUUACGAGUUUUCACUAUUUUAUUGUAUUGUAUUGAUUUCAUACUGCCUUUCUAUAGAAUUUUGCUAUGUUUUACGUGUUUUCUUAUCUCUCAGAUGUUUUUACUUUUAUUACUCACUGAGUUGGCGUACUCACAUUACUCCCUGUACCCUAUGUGCAGAUUCAGGAGCCUUGGGUCCUACUAGCACGGGUCAUUUGGAGUUCACUAGGUAGCUGCUCGAUGUUCGCAGCCUAGUGUUUCUCCCUUUUAUCUUUCCUUUCCCUUGUACUAGAUUCUGUAAUAGACUGUGUUGUCUUUUUUUUUCAUACUCUUAAACUUAUGUUAGAUGAUCUUGACUGGUGACACCCCGAUGUUGGGCUGUGUUUAUUUCCGCAAAAUGUUCUAUCUCACUUUUAUUUUGGGAUUUAUAGUAUGCUAAUGACUUAAAUUGAAUUCUUAUAACUAUUUAAAUGAAUUGGGGGUUUGCGUCAGUUGGCCUUAUUUCACGAUAGGCGCUAUCACAUUCGAAUUUAGGGUUGUGACAAGUUGGUAUCAGAGCCUAGGUUAUAUAGGUCUCACGAGUUAAAAGUAGGUUUCGUAAAGUCUCGCGGAUCGGUAUGGAGACGUCUUUAUUUAUCCUUGGGAGGCUGCAGAACCUUUAGGAAACUUCAUAUUCUUGAAAUUAUUGUCGUGCGAAUCUGUUGAUCCGAGUACUAAACUUCUGUUAUUCUAUUCUCUAAUAGAUGUCGAGGACACGAGCGACCAGUCAGGAUGGACGACCACCAGUACCACCAGCUGUGGCCACUAGAGGCCGAGGAUGCGGUCGAAGCUGUGGUAGGGGAAGGGGUAUGGCCGGCACAACAACUAGGGCAGCACCUGCAGAUCUACCAACUGCCCCAGUUCAGUAUCAGGUCCCAGUUGUAGACUUUCCAACAGUACCAGCUCAAGCACCAACUGUGCUCAUUGUGAUUCCGGGUCUUUAGGAGGGCCUGACCUAGAUCCUAUUGGUAUGCACUGGCCUAGCUCAAGCAGUCUCAGUUACUACAGCCGCAGCUACUUCUCAUGUCGGGCGAGGCACUUAGACUCCCGCCGCUCGCACACUUGAGCAAGUCGUGCAAGGACUUCAGACACCGAGGGAACAUCCAGCCCAGCCGGUUGCAGCUGCUCAGGACUAUGUAGCUCUUGCCAUGGCUAGGAGGNNNNNNNNNNNNNNNNNNNNNNNNNNNNNNNNNNNNNNNNNNNNNNNNNNNNNNNNNNNNNNNNNNNNNNNNNNNNNNNNNNNNNNNNNNNNNNNNNNNNNNNNNNNNNNNNNNNNNNNNNNNNNNNNNNNNNNNNNNNNNNNNNNNNNNNNNNNNNNNNNNNNNNNNNNNNNNNNNNNNNNNNNNNNNNNNNNNNNNNNNNNNNNNNNNNNNNNNNNNNNNNNNNNNNNNNNNNNNNNNNNNNNNNNNNNNNNNNNNNNNNNNNNNNNNNNNNNNNNNNNNNNNNNNNNNNNNNNNNNNNNNNNNNNNNNNNNNNNNNNNNNNNNNNNGGAGCUGCCUUCACUUGGUAGGAGGCUUAUGAGAGGCAUAGGCCUGUUGGUGCAGCACCCUUUACCUGACAAUAAUUCUCCAUUCUCUUUUUGGAGAAGUAUGUGGCACAGUCUCGGAGAGAGAAACUGUGCAGACAAUUCGAGUGGUUGCGUCAUGGAGAUAUGACUAUGACGUAGUAUGAGAUAAGGUUCUUGGAGUUAGCUCGUCAUGCUAUUUUGUUGGUUUCUAUGGAGAGAGAGAGAGUAUUAAGAGGUUCAUUGAUGGCCUCACUUAUCAGCUUCAUAUUCUCAUGACCAGGGAGAGGGUGUCUAGUGCUACCUUUGAGGAGGUUGUUGAUAUUGCUUGCGAGAUUGAGUCUGUUCGUUGCCAGGAGCGAGAUAAGAGGUAGGCCAAGAGGCCUCGGGGAUCUGGUAGUUAUGGUGGUUCUCCUUCGAGAGGUUAGUUUCAGCAUGGUAGAGGUUGUCCAUUCAGGCAUGCUCAGCCAGCUCACCCAAGUUAUCAUGGGGCGUCAUCGGGUUAUGGUUCUCACAGUUCUCAUCAGGGCCAGUCAUCACUCAGUGCCCUUCCAGCUUAGAGUUCGUUCCGUGCUCCGUCAGUUCAGGGCUCUUCUAUGCUAGGUGCAUCUGCUAGUCAUUUCGGUGCCAGAGGUUCCCUUCAGUCCCUGUCUCCAGCACCCAGAAGUUGCUAUAAGUAUGGAGAGAUGGGUCAUAUGUGGAGGUAGUGUCCUCGUCAUCUUGGGGUUCAUCUCAGUAGAGGAGUUAGCCAUCGGCUUCAACACCAGUUACUUCACCACCACCCACCCAACCAUCUAGGGGUGGAGGUCAGUCAGCUAGGGAUUGCCCUAGAGGGGGGAGGUUGAUCAGGUGGCGUCAGGCCCGUUUCUAUGCACUUUCGGCUAGACCCGAUGUUAUUACUUCAGAUGCCGUGAUCACAGGUAUUGUCUCAGUCUGCCACAGAGAUGCCCCUGUAUUAUUUGAUCCUGGUUCCACUUAUUCUUAUGUGUCAUUAUACUUUUCUUGUUAUUUGGAUAUGCCCCGUAAGUCUCUUAUUUCAUCUAUUCGUGUAUCUACUCCGGUGAGCGAUACUGUUGUUGUAGACCAUGUGUACCGAUCAUGUGUGGUGACUAUUGGGGGUUUGGAGACCCGAGUGGAUCUAUUAUUGUUAUGUAUGGUAGACUUCGAUGUUAUAUUGGGCAUGGAUUGGCUAUCUCUGUGUCGUGCUAUUUUUGACUGUCAUGCUAAGACAAUGACAUUGGCUAUGCUGGGUGUGCCACAGGUUAAGUGGCGAGGUUUGACUGAUUUUGUUCCUAGUAGGGUAAUUUCGUUCUUGAAGGACCAGCGUAUGGUUGGGAAGGGUUGUCUUUCAUAUUUAGCCUUUGUGAGGGAUGUCAGUGCAAAAACUCCUAGUAUUGAUUCUAUUCCUAUUGUAAGGGAUUUUCCCGAUAUAUUUCCUGCAGACCUACCGGGCAUGCCACCGGAUAGGGAUAUUGAUUUUGGUAUUGAUUUGGUGCCGGGAACUCAGCCCAUUUCUAUUCCACCGUAUCGUAUGGCACCAAUAGAGUUGAAGGAAUUAAAGGAGCAACUUUAGAAGCUCUUUGAUAAGGGGUUUAUUCAGCCUAGUGUGUCACCUUGGGGUGCGCUUGUUCUAUUUGUGAAGAAGAAGGAUGGCACGAUGAGAAUGUGCAUUGAUUACAGGCAGUUGAACAAAGUAACAAUCAAGAACAAGUAUCCUUUGCCUCGUAUCGAUGAUUUGUUUGACCAGAUUCAGGGAGCGAGAAUGUUCUCCAAGAUUGAUCUCCGUUCAGGUUAUCACCAGUUAAAGAUCAGGGACUCAGAUAUUCUUAAGACAUCUUUCAUGACCCAAUAUGGUCAUUAUGAGUUCUUGGUGAUUUCUUUUGGGCUGACCAAUGCCCCAGCAGCAUUCAUGCAUUUGAUGAACAACGUGUUUUGGCCCUAUCUCGACUCGUUUGUCAUAGUUUUCAUUGAUGAUGUUCUAGUGUAUUCGCAUAGUUAAGAGGAUCAUACAGAGUAUUUGAGAGUUGUGUUGCAGAGAUUGAGGUAGGAGAAGCUUUAUGGAAAGUUCUCCAAGUGUGAGUUUUGGCUCAGUUCAGUGGCUUUCUUGGGGCACAUGGUGUCCAGCGAGGGUAUUCAGGUUGAUCCGAAGAAGAUAGAGGUGGUUCAAAGUUUUCCCAGACCAUCCUCAGCCAUAGAGAUUCGCAACUUUCUUGGUUUGACGGGUUAUUACAGCCGGUUUGUUCAGGGAUUCUCAUCUAUUGCAUCGCCCUUGACCAAGUUGACUCAAAAGGGUGCUCUUUUCAGGUGGUCGGAUGAGUGUGAGGAGAGCUUUCAGAAGCUCAAUACUGCCUUGACCACAACUCCAGUGUUAGUUUUGCCAUCAGCUUCAGGUUCAUAUACCGUGCAUUAUGAUGCUUCAAGAGUUGGUAUUAGGUGUGUAUUGAUGCAGGAGGGUAGAGUUAUUGUGUAUUAGGUGUGAUGAUGGGGUGUUGAGGAUGCAGGGCCGGAUAUGUAUGCCCAAUGUAGAUGGGCUUCGGGAGUUGAUUCUGGAGGAGGCCCAUAGCUCGCGGUAUUUCAUUCAUCCGGGUGCCGCGAAGAUGUAUCAGGAUCUGAGACAUCAUUAUUGGUGGAGGAGAAUGAAGAAGGAAAUUGUGGGAUUUGUAGCUCGGUGUCUCAAUUAUCAGCAGGUGAAAUAUGAGCAUCAGAUACUGGGUGGCUUGCUUCAGCGGAUGGAUAUUCUAGAGUGGAAGUGGGAGCGGAUCACCAUGGACUUUGUAGUUAGGCUCCCACUGACUUUGAAGAAGUUUGAUGCUAUUUGGGUGAUUGUGUUUCGGCUGACCAUGUUCGCGCACUUCAUUCCUAUGUGUACUACCUAUUCGUCAGAGCGGCUGACAAAGAUCUAUAUCCAAGAGAUUGUUCGUUUGCAUGGUGUCCCAGUUUCCAUCAUUUCAGAUAGGGGCACUCAGUUUACUUCGCAGUUUUGGAGCGAGAGUUGGGUACUCAGGUUGAGUUGAGCACAACUUUUCACCCUCAGGCGGACGGGUAGUCCGAACGCACUAUUCAGAUAUUGGAGGACAUAUUACGCGCUUGUGUCAUUGAUUUUGGAGGGUCAUGGGAUCAGUUUCUACCACUCACAAAGUUUGCUUAUAACAAUAGUUACCAGUUGAGUAUUCAGAUGGCUCUAUAUGAGGCUUUGUAUGGGAGGCGGUGUAGAUCUCCAGUUUGUUGGUUUGACUCGGGUGAGGCUAGACUAUUGGGUACAGACUUGGUGUCGGAUGCUUUACACAAGGUGAAGGUGAUUCAGGA
rnacentral:lncRNA from 1 species